AUCAAGCAACCAAAAGAGAAGGCCACAAGUUCCAAGACGUAAUAGUAGGCUACACCAAUAAUAUGAAGUCUACAAAGGCUAGAGCAUAGGUUUGGUGGCACAAAUGAUAGCUAUACAAUGUGCUCUCGUGAAUUCUUGAAGAGUGAAGAAUCUAUAAAGGCUCUCACGAAUGCAUGUCACCUGUCUCUCAGCUUGCCAAUAAUUUGUGUAAAUACUGUGACACGUAAUGUCAUGCAUAGAAGCGCCACGUUGUGGCCAUGAAGAAGCAGCGAGAAGAGCCACGAUGGUAGUACAGAAGGCACUCUCCAUCUAUAAAAGGGGAGCCAUGCCUCACAAGAAGAAAACCAAGCAAUCAGCAAGCACAAGCAUACCACCAGCCAUAAGAGCAGAGAGUUAGCCAGACUCCUUGGUCAGUAGUACUAGUAGUCCAACCACCAUCUUUGUAAUUAAUCCAUUAGUUUGAAGGCGCUUGUAAUAAGAAGAUAGUAAGAAUUUUUUCAGGAUCUUGGGCUGGCGAGGCUAAUAGUACGUCCGACAGUGUGCGCAGUGGUGUAUUAACCCUACUCGGUACUAACCGUACUUAUCACUAUAUUGCUUUAAAAGUAGCUAAGUUUCAUUCCCUAGAUAUUUUUAGACAAAUUUAUAUGGGUUGAUUUUUUAUCAUCAUCCCAGGCAGUUUCACCCGAAGGGAAUACUUCUCUACGGAUUCGGUUCUCGUUCUAAUCGCCACACACAAUGCUUAACAGAGAACUGCACGUAGAGGUUUCUCCAAUAGGAUCCCUAGAAUAAAAAUCCAUCCCAUAUAAACAUGAUAAAAAUAUCAAGAAAAACACAUAACUACUUUAUUUCCACAAUAUAAUUUACAUACGGGUUUCCCUUUCGGGAACCCCUACGAGAUUACACAAGAACGGGAAAUUACCUUACUACCUUCUUAUUACAAGCGCCUUCAAUCUAAUGAAUUUAUUACAAGGAUGAUGGUUGGACUACUGCUACUACUGAGCAAGGAGCCUGGUUAACUCUCUGCUCUUAUGGCUUGCAGUAUGCUUGUGCUUGCCGAUUGCUUGGUGUUCUUCUUAUGGGGCAUAGCUCCCCUUUUAUAGAGGGAGAUGGACUUUUGUACUGCCAUCGUGGCUCUUCUCGCUGCUUCUUCAUGGACCAAACGUGGCGCUUCUGUGCAUGACAUUACGUGGCAUAAUAUUUGCACAAAUUAUUGGCAAGCUGAGAGACAGCCCAAAGGAAUCGAGAGAUUCUUUGCAUGAAGACGAGAAGAAAUCAAUCAACCAAAAAAGAAGGCCACAAGUUCCAAGACGUAAUAGUAGGCUAAUAUGAAGUCUACAAAGGCUAGAGCAUAGGUUUUGUGGCACAUAUGACAGCCAUACAAUGUGCUCUCGUGAAUUCUUGAAGAGUGAAGAAUCUAUAAAGGCUGUCACAAAUGCAUGUCACCUGUCUCUCAGCUUGCCAAUAAUUUCUGUAAAUAUUGUGGCACGUAAUGUCAUGCACAUAAGCGCCACGUGGUGUCCAUGAAGAAGAAGCGAGAAGAGCCACAAUGGCAGUAAAGCCCUCUCCUUCUAUAAAAGGGGAGCCAUGCCUCACAAGAAGAAAACCAAGCAAUCGACAAGCACAAGCAUACCACCAGCCAUAAGAGCAGAGAGUUAGCCAUGCUCCUUGCUCAGUAGUAGUAGUCCAACCACCAUCUUUGUUAUAAAUCCAUUAGUUUGAAGGCGCUUGUAAUAACAAAGUAGUAAGGUAAAUUCCCAUUCUUCUGUAAGCUCGUUGGGGUUCCGGAAAGGGAAACUCAUAUGUAAAUUAUAUUGUGGAAAUGAAGUAGUUAUGUGUUUCCCUUGAUCUUUUUAUCAUGUUUAUAUGGGAUGGGUUUUUAUGCUAGGUAUCCUAUAGGAGAAACAUCUACGUGUAGUUCUCUGUUAAGCCUUGUGUGUGGUGAUUAGAACGAGAACCGGAGCCGUAGAGAAGUAUUUCCUUCGGGUGGAACUGCCUGGGAAGACGAUAAAAAUCAACUCAUAUAAAUUUGACUAAAAACAUCGAGGA